ensembl:lncRNA
UGUGCAGCGUUGGGAUGUUUGCUUAUCAUACCACUACUCAGGUAUUUUUAAACUUCUUUUCACUCCUGGGUGAAGAAUGAAAAACUCCAGGGUCACACACACACAAAAUAAUAUUUUAGAAGGGCCUCAUCUUUUAAUUUUGCCUGGGGCCCCCACUUCAUCUCCCUGCUCUACUGACAUCUGCUUCAAACAUUACAAUGCAAGAUAACUUUUGUUCAUGCUACAAUAAGUACAUCCACUUACUAGCUAAUUACUAUUUAACAGUGAUGCUAGUGCUACCGCAAAACCGGAAGUUUUCAAAUAAGCCCGAAGGACUUGAUUAGUUGGAUCAGGUGUGUUUAAUUAGGGUUGAAUCUAAACUCUGCAGGGCUCUGGCCCUCCAGGAACUGAGUUUGACACCUGGUCUAGUGCACUGAAAACAUGUUCAUUUUGUAACAUCUGUAGCUUAAAUGAGGCCAUAUGGCAUUAAUGACUUAUGUAUAUAUGAAAGGGGCUCUUAGCGAGUCCCUAACUGCUCAAGUAGUGGUGAUUGGCAUAGGAAAUAAAGAAAAGAUUAUGCAGAAAAUGAUUAAAGAUGGAUUUAGGGAAGUAUGGGGUCCGUGUAGGCAGUGUGAAUGGGUGAUAAAGGAAGUUAGUGAUCACAAGAAGCAAAAGAAAUAUGCAUGUGUUUUGAAUUGUCUGUGGAUUUCACAGGCGAGGGGACUUUUGACUGACCGCGUGGGUAGGGUAGUGCAAGCGCAGGCAGCUAGAGAUGCUACACAAGAUACGUGGGAUUUGUUAGACAUUGUGACUAAGGAGCCAAGACCUGACGCAGGAAAAGCUCCUAAAAUUGAUGACAUUUAUAACUGGCAGGCAUAUGCCUCAAAGCUGAGAAAGGCAAUCGCAAAGGCAGGAAAAGAUUUUAAUGAGGCUGCUGGCCAAGUGGGGGUGUAUGGAGCUAUGGGUGUUCGAGAUUUGACUAGUAUUGUAAAUACUCUACCGCUCAUGAAAUCUAACAGUACCAGUUCUGAUUUUUGGGAUCACUUGUGGGUGAUGGCGAGAUCAAACCACCUAGCAGUAAAAGAUCUGUAUUCGAUUUGUGAACAGGUCUGCCCGUCUACAUACACGGGUCAAAUUGUCAAUCUUACUCCACCCACGCAGGCACCUGCAAAUAACGAUGAAUAUGCAAAUCAAUUUAAUGCACUGCACACAGAAGUUCAGAGUAUAAUUGGGUCAGAAAAUCAGACUUUCACUAAUGUGACUAUGAUUCGACAGGGCCCUAAUGAGCCCUUUGUUGAAUUCACUGAACACUUCACAAAAGCGCUAAAAGAAUUUGUUGCCGCACAAAGAGGUUUUCCUGAUUUGGACUCCCCAAUACUGCUUCACACUGCGCAGUCAAAUAUGAACUCCAGAUCUGCACAGCUGUUUCGAUCAUCUCUGCCAACAAUAACUGAUUGGGCUUCUUUUGUUGCGUGGGGAACACGGGCUCAGGAUAUUUUGGAACAACAGAAGAAGGAAAGCUUGCCCUCUGCCCCAGCAUACAAAUGUUACCAUUGCCAGAGGGUGGGUCAUUAUGCAAACAGG